rnacentral:sRNA from 1 species
AGAAAAGUAGGUGCCGCCCCGCACAGGGGCAACGCUAAUAGACCACUAACAAAUCAAGGAAAGGCCAACGCCAACGCCAUGUAGUGACAACAAACCCCAAACACCAC